rnacentral:rRNA from 1 species
AACGAACGCUGGCGGCAUGCCUAACACAUGCCAGUCGAACGAGACCUUCGGGUCUAGUGGCGCACGGGUGCGUAACGCGUGGGAACCUGCCCUUAGGUUCGGAAUAACUCCCCGAAAGGGGUGCUAAUACCGGAUAAUGUCUUCGGACCAAAGAUUUAUCGCCUUUGGAUGGGCCCGCGUUGGAUUAGCUAGUUGGUAGGGUAAAAGCCUACCAAGGCGACGAUCCAUAGCUGGUCUGAGAGGAUGAUCAGCCACACUGGGACUGAGACACGGCCCAGACUCCUACGGAGGCAGCAGUGGGGAAUAUUGGACAAUGGGCGAAAGCCUGAUCCAGCAAUGCCGCGUGAGUGAUGAAGGCCUUAGGGUUGUAAAGCUCUUUUACCCGGGAUGAUAAUGACAGUACCGGGAGAAUAAGCGCCGGCUAACUCCGUG